rnacentral:rRNA from 1 species
UACGGAGGGUCCAAGCGUUAUCCGGAAUCAUUGGGUUUAAAGGGUCCGUAGGCGGUUUUGUAAGUCAGUGGUGAAAGCCCAUCGCUCAACGGUGGAACGGCCAUUGAUACUGCAAGACUUGAAUUAUUAGGAAGUAACUAGAAUAUGUAGUGUAGCGGUGAAAUGCUUAGAGAUUACAUGGAAUACCAAUUGCGAAGGCAGGUUACUACUAAUGGAUUGACGCUGAUGGACGAAAGCGUGGGAAGCGAACAGG